rnacentral:rRNA from 1 species
AAUAGAUACCCGGGUAGUCCACGCCGUAAACGAUGCGAACUAGGUAUUGGGAUAAUCGACCGUCCUGGGUACCGAAGCUAACGCGUUAAGUUCGCCGCCUGGGGAGUACGAGCGCAAGCUUAAAACUCAAAGGAAUUGGCGGGGGCUUGCACAAGCGGUGGAACAUGGGGUUUAAUUCGACAGCAAGCGGAUCACCUCACCAAGGUUUGACAUCUACGGAAUCUCCUAGAAAUAGGAGAGUGCCCGCAAGGGAGCCGUAAGACAGGUGCUGCACGGUCGUCGUCAGCUCGUGGCUUGAGCUGUUCCGUGAAGUCGGGAAACGAGCGCAACCCUUAUUGCCUGUUAAAUUUCUCAGGCGAGACUGCCCUCGUAAGAGGGAGGAAGGUGGGGAUGACGUCAGAUCAGCGUGGCCUUUAUACCUUGGGCUACACCCGUGUUACAAUGGCUGGUACAGUGGGUUGCAAUAUCGCGAGAUGGAGCUAAUCCCCAAAACCAGUCCCAGUUCGGAUUGGAGUCUGCAACUCGACUCCAUGAAGUUGGAAUCGCUA